ncrna:unclassified sequences malK-I RNA
CUGACUGCGUGCGCGGCUCUCCAUGACUCAGCCCCGUACAGCAUUAACAAGGAGGAAUAUCAAUUUCCCUGAGACUCAGGGUGCGGCAGUGUGGAGACCUGUCGUAAUGCGGGAGGCGAUGCCCCCGCGAGGCGGUCAGGGCGGAGGCCCGGCAGCCAGAGUCGGCAGUAUGGCA